CCAAAGAAGAAGCCGAUGGCCGGAGCUCUUCUCGCUCCCCUGCCCUCCGCCGCCGCCCCUGAAGCCUUCCUCCGGCCCUCCGCCACCACCCCUGCCCUCUACUCCUUCUCCUCUUCCUCCUUCCGUUUUGCUCGCUCUCGUUCACCUUUCCUCGGCCUCCGCCUCUCCUACCCCACCAACCACUGGACCCCGGCGCUCCGCAGACGGAGCGCUGGACGGGGACUUCGGAUUGAGGCGGCGGCACGGCCGACAGUUCUGGUGGCCGAGAAGCUCGGGGAGGCCGGGCUGGCUCUGCUUCGGAAGUUCGCCAACGUGGACUGCUCGUACAACCUCUCGCUCGAGGAGCUUUGCGCUAAGAUCUCGCUCUGCGAUGCGCUGAUCGUGCGGAGCGGGACCAAGGUGACGCCGGAGGUGUUUGAGGCCUCCAAGGGGCGGCUCAAAGUGGUGGGCAGGGCCGGGGUGGGGAUCGACAAUGUGGACCUCCAGGCUGCCACCGAGAGCGGGUGCCUCGUCGUCAACGCGCCCGCCGCGAACACGGUCGCCGCUGCCGAGCACGGGAUCGCACUGCUUGUCGCUUUGGCGAGGAACGUCGCACAGGCUGACGCCUCCAUGAAGGCCGGUAAAUGGCAACGCAACAAAUAUGUUGGUGUCUCUCUGGUAGGAAAGACUUUAGCAGUAAUGGGAUUUGGGAAAGUUGGUUCAGAAGUUGCUAGACGAGCAAAAGGAUUAGGGAUGAACGUGAUUGCUCAUGAUCCAUAUGCGCCUGCUGAUAGAGCCCGUGCAAUUGGAGUAGAGCUUGUAUCAUUUGAUGAAGCAAUAUCCACUGCAGACUUCAUAUCGCUCCACAUGCCACUGACUCCUACUACUGCAAAGCUUUUCAACGAUGAAACAUUUGCAAAAGUGAAAAAAGGAGUGAGAAUCAUUAAUGUUGCCAGGGGUGGAGUUAUUGAUGAAGAUGCCCUGGUCAGAGCACUUGAUAAUGGGACAGUUGCUCAGGCAGCACUUGAUGUAUUCACUGUAGAGCCACCACCAAAAGACAGUAAACUGGUGAUGCAUGAGAAUGUUACUGUCACUCCUCACCUUGGAGCUAGUACUGUGGAGGCUCAGGAAGGUGUAGCUGUAGAAAUAGCAGAGGCUGUUAUUGGGGCAUUGAAGGGUGAACUUGCUGCUACUGCUGUGAAUGCCCCCAUGGUUCCAGCUGAGGUUCUUUCUGAGCUAGGCCCUUGUGUUAUCCUGGCAGAGAAGCUGGGCAGGCUUGCUGUCCAGCUAGUAGCUGGUGGAAGUGGCAUCAAGGGGGUUAAGGUUGUGUACACAUCAGCACGUGACCCUGAUGACUUGGACACGAGGAUUCUUCGUGCUAUGAUCACAAAGGGAAUAAUCGAACCCAUAUCCAGUGUCUUCAUCAACAUCGUCAAUGCGGAUUAUACUGCCAAACAGAGAGGUCUCCGCAUCAGUGAAGAGAGGAUUUAUCGUGACAGCUCUCUUGAGGCCCCUCUCGACUCGAUCCAGAUUCAUCUGACAAAUGUAGAGUCUAAAUUCGCCAGUGCCUUGUCUGAUUCUGGUGAUAUAGUGGUGGAAGGAAGGGUGAAGGAUGGCAUACCGCGCCUUACCCUUGUAGGGUCUUUCAGUGUGGAUGUAAGCCUUGAAGGGAAUGCAAUAUUGUGCAGGAAUGUUGAUCAGCCUGGUAACAUUGGACGGGUAGGAAAAAUUCUUGGAGAGCAGAAUGUGAACAUCAGCUUUAUGAGUGUGGGUAGGACUGCACCAAGGAAACAGGCCAUAAUGGCAAUUGGUGUCGAUGAGGAGCCAGAUAAGGAAACUCUCAAGAAGAUUGGUGAAAUACCAGCUAUCAAAGAGUUUGUGUUCCUUAAGCUAUAGUCAGAAAGGCAUUGUAUUUUUACACCUUUAGGGUCUGAGUUACUUCAAAAUGAGCAAGAUAUAAUGAGACAGAAACAUGUUUUCUGAAAAAUAGAUGGACGGCACUUCUUGACUGAAAUAUUCAGGUUUUUUUCUACUGCCCACUCUUGUUCUUGCACAGAAUGUAAAGUCCAUAACUUUGCGGUGAGUUAUAAAAAAAAGUUAUUUUUUUGAGUAGAAAUCAUAACUCUUUGUAUUAAGGGCAAGAUAGAUCCC